rnacentral:rRNA from 1 species
UUGCAGUUAAAAAGCUCGUAGUCGGAUUUCAGUAUGUGAAUUGCAGCUCUACACGAGUAUGCACUUCAGUACUUCUUUGACAGAAACUUUCAUCUCAUUUAUUUGAGGUGUUUUGGGACUGUCUCUUUUACUUUGAGAAAAUUAGAGUGUUCAAAGCGGGUUUUCGCCAGAAUAUUACUCUUGGAAUAAUACUAUAGGACUCCGGUUCUUUUUUGUUGGUGAUUUAGGACCGGAGUAAUGAUUGAUAGGGACAGUUGGGGUCAUUCGUACUGCAAAGCGAGUGGUGAAAUACUUGGACCUUUGUAUGACGAACUACUGCGAAAGCAUUUGACUAGGAUGUUCCCGUUGAUCAAGAACGAAAGUUGGGGGAUCGAAGACGAUCAGAUAUCGUCGUAGUCUCAACCAUAAACUAUGCCAGCUAGGGAUUGGAGGGUGUUAUUCUAAAGACCCCUUCAGCACCUUAUGAGAAAUCAAAGCAUUUGGGUUCCGGGGGGAGUAUGGUCGCAAGGCUGAAACUUAAAAGGAAUUGACGGGAGGGCACCACCAGGAGUAGAGCCUGCGGCUUAAUUUGAUUCAACACGGGGAAAACUUACCAGGUCCGGACAUGGGAAGGAUUGACAGAUUGAAAGCUCUUUCUUGAUCCUAUGGGUUGGUGGUGC